CGUACAUGGAAGACGGUCACCAAAGGGAUAAUGCACUAAUUUUGUUUGGGGGGAGUUGUUUUCUUUAGCUCGUUUGAUUUGGAUAGGUAAAACAACUCAUGCAUCUGGAUGGGAUUAAAACUUAUAACCUCAACCGCCACACUUUGUUUGUGGACCAGAGAUUUCAUAUAGUUAUGUGAUUACUGGUUUUUCCUGUCUUCGUUAUUUUCAUCACGUUUCAUCAGAAUGAGUACUGAGUUUUAUUCGUUAAAGUAAUUGCUUAACUACCUAUAAUUCUGGUUAA